AACAUCAUCGUCGUCAAUUUUGAGCUUCAUCUAAGUGCUAGAAGGUGAAACUAAGGUGCUUGAAGUUGUGGAUCAUUAAGGAGCUUCAUACAUUGCUUUUUCACCAUCAUCUUCUUCAUCUUUUUCACUAGAGAUUCUCCCCUAGCCUUGUGCUAGUAGUGUUAUGUUUUUGGUCAUUAGAUGCUAUGGAGCUUGCAUAUGGAGGUGGUCGUUGUGGGAUGCGAACUGAUAUGUCCCGUAUUUAAUAAAUAAACUUUAUGGACUUAUGUUUUGAACUUAUGUUUUAUGCUUCCACUGUUAACCUAAAAUCGGUUUAAUUCCUUUUGGUCACCAAUCGUAUUGUGUUUGGUUUUAUUUACUUAAUUAUGUUGUUCAAUAUGAUUGGUGGCUCGAUCCUGGUCAUGUCACGCCUCCAAGCGGUGAUACUCCGCAUGGUGGAUUUUAGGGGGGUGACACUUUCGCUAGCUACCAGCACAACGUGGGGAACGAUCGACACAAUUUAAACGCAUGCCAGCACAAGUGGCGCGAGCUACGACCGAAGCUCGACGUUGAAAACCCUACUACGAUAGCGUCCCGGGCGGUGAUAUAAGUCACGAAGACCGGGUGGCGGUGGCCAACAUCCAGUUCCGGGGCAAGGAACGGAAGCCGUUUGAUAAGCUCGCCAUGUGCGAAAUCUACCUAACUCUUUAGGCUUUUUUUUUUAAUUUUGUAAUCCUUUUUUUUGUAGAAUUUUGUAAUUUCGAGGCACUUUUAAUAAUAAUUUUAGGCUUUUUUUUA
rnacentral:lncRNA from 1 species